UCCGGCUUUCGCCGGCUGUUUCUUUAGAGUGCCCAACUUAAUGCUGGCAACUAAUGAUAAGGGUUGCGCUCGUUGCGGGACUGAACCCAACAUCUCACGACACGAGCUGACGACAACCAUGCACCACCUGUCUCCGCUGUCCCGAAGGAAAGGCGUAUCUCUACACCGGUCAGCGGGAUGUCAAGCCUUGGUAAGGUUCUUCGCGUUGCUUCGAAUUAAACCACAUGCUCCACCGCUUGUGCGGGCCCCCGUCAAUUCCUUUGAGUUUCAGCCUUGCGGCCGUACUCCCCAGGCGGAGUGCUUAAUGGGUUUCCUUCGGCACUGAGGGUGGAACCCCCCAACACCUAGCACUCAUCGUUUACGGCGUGGACUAC
rnacentral:misc_RNA from 1 species